UCCUAGAAUCUGACUAGGUAAAGAAUCUGCCUGCAGUGCAGGAGACCUGGGUUCAAUCCCUGGGUUGGGAA
rnacentral:tRNA from 1 species